GACGAACGCUGGCGGCGUGCCUAAUACAUGCAAGUAGAACGCAGUUGCGAACGGGUGAGUAAAGCGUAGGUUACUGUCUCAUAGCGGGGGAUAAAUAUUGGAAACGCUAGCUAAUAUCGCAUACUGUGCGAUGGACCUGCGUUGUAUUAGCUAGUGGGAGGGGUAAAGGCCCACCAAGGCGACGAUACAUAGCCGACUUGAGAGGGUGGUCGGCCACACUGGGACUGAGACCCGGCCCAGACUCCUACGGGAGGCAGCAGUAGGGAAUCUUCGGAAAUGGACGGAAGUCUGACCGAGCAACUCCGCGUGAGUGAAGAAGGUUUGCGGAUUGUAAAGCUCUGUUGUGAGAGAAGCGGUAACUAAACAGAAAGCGACGGCUAACUACGUGCCAGCAGCCGCGGUAAUUC
rnacentral:rRNA from 1 species